UGUGUAGCGGUGAAAUGCGUAGAUAUAUGGAAGAACACCAGUGGCGAAGGCGGCUGUCUGGUCUGUAACUGACGCUGAGGCUCGAAAGUAUGGGUAGCAAACAGGAUUAGAUACCCUGGUAGUCCAUACCGUAAACGAUGAAUGCUAAGUGUUGGAGGGUUUCCCCCUUCAGUGCUGCAGCUAACGCAUUAAGCAUUCCGCCUGGGGAGUACGGCCGCAAGGCUGAAACUCAAAGGAAUUGACGGGGGCCCGCACAAGCGGUGGAGCAUGUGGUUUAAUUCGAAGCUACGCGAAGAACCUUACCAGGUCUUGACAUACUAUGCAAAUCUAAGAGAUUAGACGUUCCCUUCGGGGACAUGGAUACAGGUGGUGCAUGGUUGUCGUCAGCUCGUGUCGUGAGAUGUUGGGUUAAGUCCCGCAACGAGCGCAACCCUUAUUAUCAGUUGCCAGCAUUAAGUUGGGCACUCUGGUGAGACUGCCGGUGACAAACCGGAGGAAGGUGGGGAUGACGUCAAAUCAUCAUGCCCCUUAUGACCUGGGCUACACACGUGCUACAAUGGAUGGUACAACGAGUUGCGAACUCGCGAGAGUAAGCUAAUCUCUUAAAGCCAUUCUCAGUUCGGAUUGUAGGCUGCAACUCGCCUACAUGAAGUCGGAAUCGCUAGUAAUCGCGGAUCAGCAUGCCGCGGUGAAUACGUUCCCGGGCCUUGUACACACCGCCCGUCACACCAUGAGAGUUUGUAACACCCAAAGUCGGUGGGGUAACCUUUAGGAACCAGCCGCCUAAGGUGGGACAGAUGAUUAGGGUGAAGUCGUAACAAGGUAACCAAGGGCGAAUCG
rnacentral:rRNA from 1 species